AUUGAACGCUGGCGGCAGGCCUAACACAUGCAAGUCGAACGAGUGGCGGACGGGUGAGUAAUGUCUGGGAAACUGCCUGAUGGAGGGGGAUACCUACUGGAAACGGUAGCUAAUCCCGCAUACCAUCAGAUGUGCCCAGAUGGGAUAAGCUAGUGGGUGGGGUAACGGCGCACCAAGGCGACGAUCACUAGCUGGUCUGAGAGGAUGACCAGCGACACUGGAACCGAGACAAGGUCCAGACUCCUACGGGAGGCAGCAGUGGGGAAUAUUGCAAAAUGGGCGAAAGCCUGAUGCAGCCAUGCCGCGUGUAUGAAGAAGGCCUUAGGGUUGUAAAGUACUUUCAGCGGGGAGGCGUUACCCGCAGAAGAAUCACCGGCUACCUCCCUGCCAGCCGCCGCGGUAAUAC
rnacentral:rRNA from 1 species